AUUGAACGCUGGCGGCAGGCCUAACACAUGCAAGUCGAAUGGUAACAGGAAACAGCUUGCUGUUUCGCUGACGAGUGGCGGACGGGUGAGUAAUGUCUGGGAAACUGCCUGAUGGAGGGGGAUAACUACUGGAAACGGUAGCUCAUACCGCAUAACGUCGCAAGACCAAAGAGGGGGACCUUCGGGCCCCUUGCCAUCAGAUGUGCCCAGAUGGGAUUAGCUAGUAGGUGGGGUAACGGCUCACCUAGGCGACGAUCCCUAGCUGGUCUGAGAGGAUGACCAGCCACACUGGAACUGAGACACGGUCCAGACUCCUACGGGAGGCAGCAGUGGGGAAUAUUGCACAAUGGGCGCAAGCCUGAUGCAGCCAUGCCGCGUGUAUGAAGAAGGCCUUCGGGUUGUAAAGUACUUUCAGCGGGGAGGAAGGGAGUAAAGUUAAUACCUUGGCUCAUUGACGUUACCCGCAGAAGAAGCACCGGCUAACUCCGUG
rnacentral:rRNA from 1 species